GAAAAUUACACACCAGACCUGCCAAGAGCAGAGGUGGACUGUGCCAUUGACAAAGGUUUUCAACUCUGGAGUAAUGCCUCCGUCCUGACCUUCACCAAGCUCUCUGAGGGUCAGGCAGACAUAAUGUUAUCCUUUGGGGAGAUCAUGGCGAUAAGUCCGACUUUGGCAGAAUCAGAAGCCCGCUUGCUCAUGUGUUCCCGCCAGGAAGGGGCAUGGGAGGAGGUGUUCAUUUUGAUGAGGAAAAAACAUGGACCGAUGACUUCAGAAAUACAUCUACUAUGGUGAUGCCCUGCUGUCUCCGAAGGACAUCAAUGCCAUCCAGGCCAUCUAUGGUGAGCACAAAGUAAAAAUGCUGGACAAACAAUUAGGGGUCUAGAUGUGGGUUUCAAAUAAACAGCUUUCAGCUGCGUCCUUUAAGAAAGAGCCUUCGUUCUGUGGGGCAACUGGAUGGCUCAGUCAGUUGAGCAUCUGACUCUUGAUUGUGGCUCAGGUCAUGAUCUCAGGGUGGUGAGAUCAAGCUCUGGGUUGGGCUCCGUGAAGAGUGUAGAGCCUGCUUGGGAUUCUCUCUCUCUCUCCGCCCCUCCCCUGCUUGCUCUUUCGCUCGCUCGCCCUCUGUCUCUCUAAAAUAAUAAAAAUAGAGGCUUCAUUCUAAAUGUUUUUGUGUUAACAUAAUAUGCCAACUUAACUUACUUCAGAACUUCUAUUUAUUUUUUAGGACCUUCCACAAAUCCCAUCCAGCCGAAAGAACCGCCAAUCCCACGAGCCUGUGAUAGCAAGUUAACAUUUGAUGCUGUCGCCAAAAUUCGUGGAGAAUCAUUCUUCU